rnacentral:tRNA from 1 species
AGUUAAAAACUUAAGAAAGUAGUAUGUUUUGAAAGCAUAAUUUAAAAGGUUCAACUCCUUUAUUAACUU